UUUAAAAGUAUAGGAUUCAAGGGCUAUAAAGUGUCUGUUACAAACUAAAAAUAUUCACUCUUUUCACAUAGAUUUCCCAGUUAAGUAGGGUUGGAGGUAAAAACACGAGGGACUGCACAACAAAGAUUUUGGACAGGAUGAUGACAAACUCCCUCAUGUCCCAAUUCAACAUGAAAGGCCAUGGUUCCAAAAGGGCAUUCCAACCGACAGCCCUUUACACCAUUAUAACCGCUGCUGUCAAAAAGUGGGACAGCAAAGCCACAGACCACGAAAUUAAAUAUGGAAUGGCAGAACAUUUCAAACAUGCUCCUGGGCGGUCUGGUGGCGGAGGCUAUGUUCAAAGAAACAAAGCAGUGCAACACUGAGGAGGGAAAAAGGGAUUGUUACCGAGUUCAUCAGUCCACAUCAGUUUUGUUGUGUUUUGUGGCAG